CAGCUUUUAAACAGGAACGCUGGAAGGUUUCAGGUUCAGCAAGUCCUGGAGGACUUCUCUGGAAAUGUAGAGGCAUCUACAGAUGCAUUUGUCCCAAUACUGGCUUCGAGUGACCCUUCAUUAACAGCAUGCAUGGAGGGAGAACCUGUGGGUAGCUCGUCUCUGCCUUCAGACAUGAUUAUUCAUCGUGCGGCGACACGGAGAGUUCUCUGGCAGGAGUCAGACGUUACCUCUGCAGGAAUGGGGACUGCUCGUGGGAGCUGACGUCAGCACUCAGUGCAGUGAGGGUGUCAUUCCUUGUGCAAGACGAUGCUAUGCUGAACCUUUCUAGCCUGGUCAAUUUGAAAAUGCAUUCAAACCCAGAUAGCGAAGGACCACAGGCAUCUCUUGUCUUGUAGCUGGAAACACAGCAAAGCUUUACAAAAUGGACAUACUGGUUUUCUUUUUUUCUGAAUGGUUGCACUUAAAUCAGAACUCAGUGAUGUGUGCAUCUGCCAACACCAAACAAUACACCGUUUGUAGGUUUCUGUUUUCACAUGUCUAGCAAGGUUUGUAUUGAUCAAAUUUCACACUCAUAACGUCAAAGAAGCCAGAUUAUUUCACUGGAAUAAAAAUCAGUGCUUACAGACUUGUUGGAAAUAUUUUUAAAUUACCUUUCUCUUUUUACUGGCAUACAAAUUUUAAAGGAAGGUACGUUGCUUGUUUCUUCACUGAUAGAUUCAGAGGCAGUAUGUAUGGUUAGUAAUAAUUGUUUGGCAAGCCAAGCUGACUCCAAUGUUUGUUUUCGCAAUCCUUUCUACUGAAACCAACAUUGCUUUUCAGUCAGCUCUGUAUCUUAAACACAAUGUGUUGUGCACACAGGGCAAGGUGUGCCCCAUGACCCUGCCAGUUAUUCUGUGCAUGAUCAUAUUGCACUUAUCUAUCGUGGGAGAUUUGAAAAGCUUUCUCUCUGGGCCAUUGGAGGAAACCUUGUACUUUUGUAGCCUGACCGUGACAGAAAUCUGUAAGAUGAGAAGGUUUGCCAUGCCUAAGGUUAGUUCUGCUGCAGUAAGUCUUCCCGACAUCCAACAAUGCCAGAGAAAGCAUAGUUUCUGUUUGUGGAGAUUAAUUACUAUUGUGAAGGCAACUAAAAAUGAAAAGUGUGGGGUUUAUGGCAGUUUUAUUUUUAUUGCUGCUAUUAGUAGCUUCAAUUGCAGUCUGUAAGUAAAGUGGUGAGUUCUCAGGGAAUUUGUCAAGAGCAAGGACUGGUAGGUUAGAUCAAAAUGUGGUUUGUAGGAAGGGGAAUAUGGAAAGCAUUUCCUGUUUUUCAGCUGGCAUGGAUCUGCUUGAGCAAGACAUACUCUGCUAAAUUCAUCAAGCUGUUGUCCCAGACCCUGUAACAUGUGGCUCCAGCAGUGCCUUUACUCAGUUCGUAGCCUGGUGGAAAUGUCACAUCUGCCAAUCCUUACCACACAAUACAAAUGAGAAAAUACUUAAUCUUCAUACUUUAUGUGAGACCUCCUGGCUCUUUCCUUGUUGAGGGUGAGGACCACUCUCACUUUCUAUUAAAAGAAGGAACCAUGCUACCAAUCCUGUUGUUAUAUAAACCAAAUGUUGUUAUAUAAAUAAUUAUUCUGAAAUAUUUCAGUUCUGGCAUUUUUUUCUGGUGAUUUAUGGUGUUUUUAACCAAAGCAAUGAACAGAAAUUAAUACAAAGCUGUAUUAAAUUUAGUCAGAAAAAAUCAUGCAGCUUUUCAGUGUUCUAUUUAUCCUGCUAGUGUAGAUUUUUCUUCAAAAUAUAUGGCUCAAAUCUGCCCAGUUCUGCUUAACUCCGUCUUUUUUUCUCUCUCAGUUCUCCUGCUCCUUGACUAGAACCCAUCCUGACACACAAGCCAGGGCAAAUGCUUUUCAUUGCACACCCCAUGCUAGCGCUAUUUGUGUUCCUGAAUGUGAUCACUAGAAGCUUGCUUUGUCUCUUACUGCGAGAUGCAUGUUGGCAUUUCUUUAGAAAACCUGUGAAUACCACAGAGGCUCAAGGUGGACUUAAAGAUGCUCAAGGUCACAAAACAGAUUUAACAGCGUGACUGUACUGUUCAAGCAUAAGCAUUGUAGCCCUUCAUUCAGAGUGAUUUUGCUGCAGAGCAAGUUGGGCUGAACGAACCACUGGAGGUUGUUUGCAUGGAACUGCAACCGCAGACAAGAAGAUGGUUCUCUGAGGGCAUUACCAGCAUUUUCCUUGAAACAUUUGCUUCUUCAUGGAAACUUCCAUCUAUUAGCUUAGCUUGUUAGUUGUAAAGCCCUAUGGUUUGCUAAUCUUCUUCCUUCCUUAGCUUUUCAUUUCUUCAAAGUAGUGGUUACAGACUGGAACCUGCAAAGUGCUGAGCGCUGUAUUCCACAUCAAGCAAAACUCUUAAUGUUAAUCAUGCUCUGAAAAAUGCUGCCAGAUUAGAGCUAAAUCUUUACACAUCCCCUGUAUCUCUCCAGCUGGGUGCCUUUUUCGUUCAUGUAAAAGCAUGGCUGUGCAGUUAAGGCACUGAGCUUGGGCUGAGGCAGUGCUAAGUCCACUUUAAUCUACUACAGCCUUCUUUAAUCAUGUCCUAAUUUACGAAAUAGAAAUGAUAAAUAUUUUGUCUUUCUGAUUCUAAACUCUUGGGAUGGCAUUUAUUUCUUAGCCUUAUAAGAACAUUAAGACCUUAUGCGGUGCUACAAAUGAAUUCUGUCUCUUAGAGGGCAGACAUCUAAGCCCUGGGCUGACUGGCGAGGAUUCCUGCCAUCCAGCUUCAGAGCAGGAAUGCCCUGGGAGGGCUUCUUGUCGUUGGCUCUGUGCUGUCUAAUUGCACAGCAAAUAGCAUUGGUGCUUCAGAUAACGUUUUAUUCAAAGCCUUUUAUUUCCAGUUAAAUAAAAGAAGAGUAUAUUUCAGAUUGUCUUCACGUGCCUUCAUGUGAAGAAAGGCAAUGUUUUAGACGUUUUGAAAUUCAAUUCAAGUAAUGAGCAUUCAUUAUAUCUACAUUUUAAAGUGCCAGUUUCCAGCAUCUGCCUAAGAGAAAGUAUAUCUCACUUUUUCUCUCUACCUUUGUUAGUAAUUAUCAUAAUCACAGGGUAACAUCUCAUUUUUUGCAGUUUUGUGUAUUCUCUGAACAAUUCUUACCCGAUUGAGCUUACUGUCCCUGUCUCAUUUAUUUAAUUAAACAUUAAGUCAUUGAACUUUUAGUAUGCCAAGAUUACUAAUGUGGCAAAAUAGUAAUCCAUUAAACAUCCAGACAGUAAAUCUACCACCUACCUCUUUUGACGAGGUUAUAGUAUGCCAUACAAUUAAUUAUUUGAAGCUUGAAAACAAUUUCUGCGAAGUGCAAAAUGGAACUAUUACAUCUCCAUUAAAAGAAGAAAAGUAAUAACUUCUAAAGGUUUAAAAAACCUUUAAGCAAUAUCUGAUGUAUGUCGCUGCUACACAACACCUCCUGUGAAACAUUUCUUGCUUGUAAAGGCAAGAUCAUACCUACUGUUCUGAUAACAGUGAUUUACUGUGCUGUCUGUUUGUCCAUCAGUGCAUCUAUCUGUGAGUUAGCACGUUCCUAAAGCUCUUCACAAAGUUGACUUCCUUUUUCAAGCCAAGAGGUAGAGGUCUAAUAAGCAUCAUAGGAAGCAGCGCACUGCUAAACUGAUGAUGGGUGGAUGAGGGCCGAAGAGUGGCUCUGAAUUAACUUCCUGCUGGCUGAUGUUUCUGGAGGCACUUUCUCAACCACAGCAGAAGUCCGUCGUAAUAGUCAUAGAAUUACAGAUUCAUUAGGAUUGGAAAAGACCACUUCAGAUCAUCGAGUCCAGCCACCAACCCACCACCAUCAUGCCCAUUAUCCAUGUCACUCAGUGCCACAUCUACAUGUUUCUUAAACAUCUCCAGGGAUGGUGACUCCACCACCACUCUGGCAGCCUGUUCCAAUAAGCAUUCCCAAGUGCAUCAUUUUGUAUUUUCUUAUGGUUUUACUGGCCACACUUCAGCUGUUGUCCUCUUUGUGUUAUGCACUUUUGUGCUUAUGUGGCUCUGGUGUUAUCAGAGGAGUAAGACUUUGUUGGUAGUAUUUGAAAAUAUAGUUAGAAAUACUCAACCACUGGAAAAGUUAGGACAAAUCUUGUGAGCAAUAUUGUUAUUUGAAAAGAAUCCCACGAGGCUUUCCUUGGCUGUUUGCCUGUUCAUAGAAAUUAUUACAUGUAUAUGAUAUAGACAUCCAUAAAUACCAGUGAAUAAGUGGGUGAUUAAAAUGAUAAAAUCGUUAUAAAGGUUAUUCAAAUUAUAAAAUCAUUUAUAUUAAGUUACAUAAAUAAAUACUGUUGCAGUCAGAAAGUGAAAAGACUCUUCAUUCAUUUUUCCUGUAAUUCACUUCAGGCUCCAUAAAGAUCCUGAAGGAGAAAAUGCCUUCUUUUAUUUUGCUAAUACCAGUUUGGCCUUUCUGUGAGGGUUUUACAAAGCUAAAGGAGUCACUUCAGUCUAUUGUAAUCCCCUUUUUGUUUCAGAGAAUAUAUCCCAGAUUCUCUGUUCUUUAAGUAUCCAGUAAGACUCUUCUUGUUUGUUUUCAAAGGAAGCGUCCAUAAACCAUUUGAAAACAACAUAAUUAAGGUCCGAGCUGCCUGUGACAUCUCUCACAUGCGUGCCCAGCUGUUCUGUUGGUUUUGCUUGUUAUCAUCCAUCACCAGAUGAUAAAAGAAUAAUUCUGGAGAUACUGAUUGCUUAAUUAAUUGGAGUUCUUUUUUUGUUGUUGUUGCUUUUCUAAGGCUCCUGUUUGUAAUUGUAAUGAAGCAAUAAUAUAAU
ensembl:lncRNA